CAAUUUAGAUCUUUUCUUCAAUCUUCCGCAAUCAACUCUUCAAGACUCCAUUCAACAUUACGAAAUCCGCCAACCUAUAAAAUCCUUAACAAUCUCCCCCUUUGGCGAUUUCGUGACAAAAUAUAUUACAAAGUUCGUACACAACUCAAAAAUAAUAAAAAGAAGAUCAUCGCAAUCACCAAACGAUAAUCUCCUGCAUGAUCGAUCCAAUAAAUGAAAAUUACACUUUUACAACCUUAAUACAGACUCUAUGACUUAGACAUGGAGUCUUGAAGUCUUGAAUUAUUCCUGCAAAAACAUUCUUAAAACGAAAAUCAAGAUUCAAGUAUACUUAUCAAGAUCAAAUAUAAACAUCAAAAGAGUACCAAAUAAACAUCAAAAGAGUACCAAGUCACCAAGUCAGUUCAUAGUCAAGCACCUAAUGUUUGAGCACCUAAGCAAACAUCUAAACUAAAUUUACACAACUUAUGCAAAGUAAAUCUAAACUAAACGCUUCAUCAUCAUCGAGCCAUCCAUCAUCAUAUAUUCAUCUCCCCCUUUUUGUCAGAAAGCGCCAAAACGACAAAAGGAGUAAACCCAUUACAUCUAAUCUGAAGCAUCCCCUGGGGGUAAAUUUGCUCUGCAACACCCUAACUUGUCAAAAAUCAUAUUGAGUAAUCGCUUCAUCUUGCUCACAUCCUUUCGUAUCGCAGCCUGCUCCGCAGACAAUUUCUGAAGCUCCUCAGAUAAACGUUGUUGCUCACGAUACACAGAGGAAAC
rnacentral:lncRNA from 1 species